AGUAAUCCCUUCUGCAGUCACCGUGAUUCUCAAGAACACAAGCCGUGGGUCUGGUCUAUUGACUACUCCCCCAGCAAUUGCAUAUCAUCUCAUCCUUUCUGCUCUGUAACGUGAGAAGGGAGAAGAAGAGGUCACUUAAUGAUUGUUAGGAUGCUUGAUGCGGCCCCCAGGUGGAAGACUGUCUGCAAAGCAUAAAGAAUGAGCUGCUCUCCUUCUGCCACAGCCUGUGCUGAUUUACAACCACUUUGUGUUUGAUGUUGGACAGGAUAAUUUCAUCAGUCUCCAACCCUUGUGAUCACGUCCCAAAAUGACUCGUCAGUUUUAGUGACCCAGAUGGGACCUUAACUGGCUGAACACUGCUCACUCGGACACGGCUGCAGCUGAGAGAUCAUGGGACCCCUUAUGAGAGCCAGGAGCCCAUCCUGUGAAGGUGAAGGCUGGCUUUCAUUCCUCUCGAGCUCUCUGCCAUCAGCAUCUCUUUUGCUGCAUUUCCCGUGCGGGUUACAGCAGUUUGCUCACAUGUCUCCUCCUUGCAAGUCGGCUUCUUAUAUUUACCUUCAGACGAGUACAUGGCUUUCCCCUGGCAGCUAUUAUUAAUCCAGGAAUAGGUAAGGAAACAUCCAGUCUCAGUUGCCCCUGGCAGCCAUCUUGCAUCAUUUACAAGAAAACAGCUGAGUCUAAAGCCUGAGAACGACAGAUGCGAGUACUAGGGAGAUAUUGAAGACUAUGCAAGUGACUGUUACAAAGAAUGUGGAAUUUCAUGACGAAUCUGUUGCUGGAAGGUCCAUUGGAAGAAAGCACUGGGCCAUGUGUUUUAAACAGGAGCUGAUGUUGAUUUAUCCUUUACAUUAUCCAUUACAACACAGAUCUGUGGACCUGACAAAAUGCAAUAGCAGAGAAUUGGGCUCCAGGCCUCUUCUCUUUGAGCAAAAUAAUUGAAUCAACCACAGUGAGAGAGAGCAACAACUUAAAUAGAGCAUCCGAGGUUUAAAAUGCAGGAAUUUCCUCCAUUUUCUGAGCACUUGUCAUGGCAUUUCUGGAAUGCUGCAAUCUUUCCUGGAGGACGAUGGAGUUCUAAUCCCAUCCGUCCCAAACCUGCCUCCGCCAAGUGCUGGGUGAAGUCUCUCUAGUGAGAGCUGGCUCUAAGUCCCCACUGAGCAUCAGUGAGCAGGUGGGCUCCUUCUUUCAUAUUCUCCAUAAUGGUUGUAGAGAGGGGCAACUAUGGAGCAGAAGCAGGCGAUACUAGCAUCACUUGUCUUCCUUUGGAGGGGUCCCUGGGCCUGGGCAUAGGGAAGAGGAAGAGGGAAGCUUUUCCUCUUUUAAGUAAUAAAAAUCAAGUAAUCUAUUGCACCAGAGUAGGUCAUUUAUCCACAGCUAUCUGGUAGCUCAAAUGACUAAGUUAUUUACUUACUGUUGACCUCCAAAUUGGCCCCUGCUUUACAGUCAUUCUUUGGUUAAUCCUUAUCAGAAUCAUUAAAAGACAGGUGGAGUGGGGUGGGGUGGGGCAUGGGAUUUCUUCCUGAAAGCCACAGAAGCAUUUAGUUUCAUGUCUCAGUAACUGGGAAGUGUUAGUCUUGUCUCCCUAGCUGAUACGCAAGCAUGGCCACCUUUUCCUGGAUGUGGUAGGCAGAAUUCUAAGGCCGCCAGAGAUUGCUGCUUCUUCAUGUCAGGCCAGUAUCACCCUAAUCCUCUCCCCGUGAGUGUGGGUGGGGCCAGGGACUUGCUUUCAGCCAACAGAUGCGGUAGAGCUGAUGGGAUGAAGGAGGGAGUUUCUAAUUCAGUUCUUGAACAAGCCAAUAGCCAUGUUGUGAGCUGCCUAGGGAGAGGGAAGGGAACUGCAUUCAUUGGCAGGGAACUGCAGCUGUGGCCAGUCCUGAGAGCAGCCCCCAGCCAGCAGCCAGCCGGCAAAAAUAUAGGGACCUCAAAUUCACAAUCGCAAGAAGAUGAAUUCUGCUCACCACGGAAGGGAUCCUGGAAACAGAUUUUUCCCUAAUCAGACCUUCAGAAGAGCACGUAGCUUAGUCAUCACCUUGAUUGCAGCCUUGUGAGACCCUGAGCAGAGAACCCACUUAAGCUAUGCCCAGACUCCUGACCCACAAAAACUGAGCUGAUAUACAGAUUCAUGGUAAUUCAUUAUGCAGCAAAAGAAAACUAAUAGACUGCAUGUAAUCUCAUCCCUCCCCCUUCAGACAUCUCCCAGGAAGCUGGGUACAUCAUAGAUGCUCAAUAAUUAAACAUUAUCUUGAUUGAUCCAUCAAUCAUCCUCAGACUUUAUCCUUCAAUGUGUUGGAUUUGGGGGCUUUGAGAUCUCACUAAUUUUCUACACAUUUGUUUUAGGUAAGUAGGGGACAAGUCAUGUCUUAAUCCUUAGAGGGAAAAAAAAAGUUAACAAGAAAUAAAAUACUCUUCAAUAGUACUUAAUGCUCCAGAAAUAAACAUCAAGAGAUAUAUUGAAAUGCAGGUGUGGUGGGAGAGCCUUCUGCUGCUAUUAGGGCUUGAACAGACAUCAACAUGUGUUCCGGUCAUGUUGCAUGAGGUUUGGCUAGUUUCAGUCACACCAAAGAAUGGGUUAGGGUGUAAGGAGAGCUUUUCUUUCCAUAUAACUUGUGGGGCCCAGUGGGAAAUGGAAGCACCACCUAUGUUCAAAAAAUGGGGGAACAGUACUGUUAAAGAUAUUAAUAUAUAACUUUUCUCCCCUUCUACAAUUCCCUCUAGCCCUGUCAUGAUGGUAAGGGGGAGAUGUGAGAGGACAUUCUCUGUAUUGAUUGUGCUACUCUUUAUACAGACCCGCUGGAUCUAAUUCCCUUCACGUCCCUUCUCUGCAUUCCCUCUAUCCCAUGAAUUUUUAUAUGCCCUUAGGGGUGGGGAUGGGGGGGGACAGGGAGUCUUCCUCUAACUCAUGCUCUGAAUCUUCUUUUUGGACUAUCAGAUGUCUUUUAUCUCCUUUAUUAUGGUAAGACCUCCUCCCCUGAGGAAGUGAUUACUCAUAGUCUAGCCAAAAUGGGAGAAAAGUCCCAGGGUAAAAAGAAAAUAUUUAUAAUAUAAAACAUAAAUAGCUUAAUAUAUUAAAAUUAUUUUUUCCACCUGCAGGAUUCCCAAUACUUUACUAUGAAAAUGUGUGUGUGUGUGUGUACCUGGCAUAUAUGUAUAUUAUAUAAAUGAAUUUUGCUAAACAGAUCAAGGAAUGCAUGAUAAACACCAUAUUUAGUUGCAGACUUUAAUGUCACACAGGGUAUUCUUUACUGAUAGUUAUUAGUCUUGGAGAAGUUUUUGAAGGAAUCCAGUGAGCCACAUUGUGGUCUAAUUGGCCAUAAUAUAUUUCUUUAACAGACACCUAGCCUCAACAGAACUGAAUUCUGGGUCUCUACCUGCUACUUCACUUCAAGCAAAAAGGUCUGAUACAUAAUCAAGUCAAGAUGGGGAAGACAGUCCACAGAGUACUCUGUUAAUAUUUCUGCUAUUAAGAUAUCUGUUUCCUAUAUUUGGAAUACCCAGAAAGAGUGGAAUCUAAAUAUUUAAAUGUCGCACAGAAAAAAAUCUGACAAGUGGAAAAUGUCUUAAAAGCCUAUAUAUAAAUUCUGGUGGUGGAUAAUCAGAAUCAGCUAACAGAAUUCAUUUUUAUUAAAGCAUUUCAAAUGAUCAAGUCACUGAUGCGUUUUAACAUUAUAAUGGCAUAAUACCCUUGCCUCAAGUCUUCAAAGAGGCAAAGUGAUCACAGAUUAAGCAAGUUCAACUGCACACGAUGUUUUUGUAAGCCACAGGAAUAUUACUCCUUAAGAAAUACUUCUGAGGUGGUCAAAAGGUAUAAACUUCCAGUUAUAAGAUAAACAAGUACUCGGAGGUGAUGUACAACACGUUGACUCUAGCUAACACAGCUGUGUAAUAUACAGGAAAGUCGUUAAAAGAGUAGAUCCUGAGAGUCCUCAUCAUCACAAGGAGAAAGUUUUUUCCCUUUCUUUUCUUCUUCUUCUUCUUUUAAAAAUUGUAUCUAGAUGAGAAGAUAGAUGUUAGCUAAAUGUGUUGUGGUGAUCAUUUCACAGUCUAUGUAGAUCAGAUCAUCAUGCCACAUGCCUUAAAGUCAUACAGUGCUGUAUGUCAGUUAUUCCUCAAUAAAACGGAGAAAAAAUACUUCUGGUAUGAAUGAUGAGAUUUUGAGGAAGUUCCAUUUUGAUGCAAAAUGACCUAGCUGCCCAUGGUUAUAAAUGACUGCAUGCCCGGUCCUCUUGGCCUUCUUCCCUGGGGUUCCCUUUCUGCCUGAUGACAGAGGGAGUUCUGAGCUUGGAAGAAAUGAACCAGGUGGUGAGAUGAAUGGGAAUGUGACCCUACAUAGGUUUUUCUUCUUCCUCCCCAUCCCCAAUUUUGUCACAUGUGAUAACUGAGAGUGUGGCCCAAAGUAAUCAACAGAGAGGGCACAGAUACCUGAAGCAGAGAGAACAACACGCACUGCCAAGUAUGUAAUCUGAACUUCGAGCCUUCACGCAUCCUCCCACGCAUCCUCAUGGGGAUGAAAAAAGAAGCGAGCAGCCCUGUUUCACUCACCCGGAGAACCCACGGGCUGGAUGCAUUGUCCGCAUCCCGCUGGAUGUGGGAAGCUAG